rnacentral:lncRNA from 1 species
UGAUCCUCCUGCCACAGCCUCCUGAGUGGCUGGGACUGCAGAAUCUAAAACUGAACGGGGACCUUGUGAACAUUCUAGUUUUUGUCUGUUGGAAGAAGAGUUAUAUGGGGAUGUGAAAGACCAGGAGACCCAGAAUCCUGACAGACCUAUCAGAGAGGCAGAGUAGUCCUAUGACAGAGGCAGCCACAGAAGCUCAUGCCCACAUGCCUGUCCCUCUAUCUGGAG